GNAUUUCCUUAGUAGCGGCGAGCGAACAGGAAUAUAGCCCAGCACUGAAUCCCGCUGUUGUAACGGCAGCGGGAGAUGUGGUGUUCGGGAGGUUCCGCUUUCUCGUCACCGAUACUCCUGUCCAAGUUCGUCUUGAACGGGGCCGUUUUCCCGAAGAGGGUGCCAGGCCCGUAGCGACGGAGGGCGGUGGCGAGAGGGACUCUCCUCAGAGUCGGGUUGCUUGAGAGUGCAGCCCUAAGUGGGUGGUAAACUCCAUCUAAGGCUAAAUAUUACC
rnacentral:rRNA from 1 species